rfam:TPA: Bos taurus chromosome 23, whole genome shotgun sequence.
GGGGGUGUAGCUCAGUGGUAGAGCGCGUGCUUCGCAUGUACGAGGCCCCGGGUUCAACCCCCGGCUCCUCCA